AAAGGUCCCAUCGUCUCUCAGGGCCGAUGAAUCCGGGACCUGAUCUGUUUUCCCUUUAUUUUUUUUAAUUUUUUUUUAUGAUUCCGGGAUUUUGUUGAGGACUACGUGCGUCUAUGGACCUUUCGUUGUGUGACAGGAUACAGGCCGAGAAGAAUAAGAACAUCUACGACGCGGCUAUCGGAAUCGGAGUGGACAAAGAACAUCGAGACGUAACAAAAAAAAAAAAAAAAGGGAUUUAAUGCGAAAGAAAGAAAUGUCUUUGUUUCUGUGUUUGUCGACACAUCUCUUUCUCGUUUGUUUACAGAGUCUUAUGGCCGAUUGACAAUUUCGUUUUUCGAUUAUCCGACAUGUCCUGAUGUCUUGCACUCUCGUUCGCUAUCAAGGACAUACUGGAUUUACUUGUUUCCAAUAUCGUCCGGAUAAAAAGAAAAAAAAAAGAACGCACUAAAGAAAUAUCGUGCGUGACAGCGUUCAGUUAAGUGUGGAGUGAGAUGUUUGCAGUAUUAGCGUAUAUUAAACAUAUGGCUAUAUACCGUUUUGGCCGACAUCAUCGACAUUUUGAGUUCACUUCAGCUCUUUAGAAACGUGUGAUAAUGAUUUUUAAAAAACGCUGGAUGAAUAUUUGGCUAGAUCCUUUAUCUUCUUAGCCCCUUCUUCUUUUCAUCCUCACAUUGAGAUGCGUCUAUUGAUUAAUCAAAGGAAUUAUAAGAAGCCCAACACGCCGAGAAAGUAUAUAGACGAAGGAAUGACGAUUAUUAUAUAGAUAUGUACGUUAUAGAAUGAAUAAACAUUUAUUUAUUUUUCUUA